rnacentral:rRNA from 1 species
AUUGAACGCUGGCGGCAGGCCUAACACAUGCAAGUCGAACGAGUGGCGGACGGGUGAGCAAUGUCUGGGAAACUGCCUGAUGGAGGGGGAUAACGACUGGAAAAGGUAGCAAAUACCGCAUACCAUCGGAUGUGCCCAGAUGGAUUUAGCUAGUGGGGGGGGUAAAGGCUCACCGAGGCGACGAUCCCUAGCUGGUCUGAGAGGAUGACCAGCCACACUGGAACUGAGACACGGUCCAGACUCCUACGGGAGGCAGCAGUGGGGAAUAUUGCACAAUGGGCGAAAGCCUGAUGCAGCCAUGCCGCGUGUAUGAAGAAGGCCUUCGGGUUGUAAAGUACUGUCAUCGGGGAGGCGUUACCCGCCGAGGAAGCACCGGCUAACUCCGUGCCAGCAGCCGCGGUAAUUC